UGCAGAUCAUAUCGAUUUUUCUUAGGAA
rnacentral:piRNA from 1 species